rnacentral:rRNA from 1 species
CAAUAGCGUAUAUUAAAGUUGUUGCAGUUAAAAAGCUCGUAGUUGGAGUUCAGAGUGAGCUCAGCCGGUCGGCCUCAUGGGUCAGAACUGGUCGACUCUCUCUUGUUUGUGGAUCCCGUCCGGAGUUAACUCUUCGGAAUGUGGAGUUCACAUCGUUUACCUUGAAAAAUUAGAGUGUUCAAAGCGGGCGUUUGCUUGAAUAUAUUAGCAUGGAAUAAUGGAAUAGGACCCUGGUCCUAUUUUGUUGGUUUUGAGGACUAGAGUAAUGAUUAAUAGGGAUAGUUGGGGGCAUUCAUAUUUAAUUGUCAGAGGUGAAAUUCUUGGAUUUAUGAAAGAUGAACUUCUGCGAAAGCAUUUGCCAAGGAUGUUUUCAUUAAUCAAGAACGAAAGUUAGGGGAUCGAAGACGAUCAGAUACCAU